CGGCAGGCUUAAUACAUGCAAGUCGAGGGGUAGCAUGAUUGUAGCAAUACAAUUGAUGACGACCGGCAAACGGGUGCGGAACACGUACACAACCUUUCUACAAGUGGGGAAUAGCCCAGAGAAAUUUGGAUUAAUACCCCGUAACAUAGCGAUGUGGCAUCACAUUGCUAUUAUAGCUUCGGCGCUGUAAGAUGGGCGUGCGUGCUAUUAGCUAGUUGGUGAGGUAACGGCUCACCAAGGCUACGAUAGCUAGGGGGCGUGAGAGCGUGGCCCCCCACACGGGUACUGAGACACGGACCCGACUCCUACGGGAGGCAGCAGUAAGGAACUAUUGGACAAUGGUCGGAAGACUGAUCCAGCCAUCCCGCGUGCAGGAUGACUGCCCUAUGGGUUGUAAACUGCUUUUAUAUGGGAAGAAUAGCAUAGAUUCAUCUGUGUAUGACGGUACCAUAUGAAUAAGCACCGGCUAACUCCGUG
rnacentral:rRNA from 1 species